rnacentral:rRNA from 1 species
UGGCUCAGAUUGAACGCUGGCGGCAUGCCUUACACAUGCAAGUCGAACGGCAGCACGGGUGCUUGCACCUGGUGGCGAGUGGCGAACGGGUGAGUAAUACAUCGGAACGUACCUUAUCGUGGGGGAUAACGCAGCGAAAGCUGUGCUAAUACCGCAUACGCCCUGAGGGGGAAAGCGGGGGAUCGAAAGACCUCGCGCGAUUAGAGCGGCCGAUGCCUGAUUAGCUUGUUGGUGGGGUAAAAGCCCACCAAGGCGACGAUCAGUAGCUGGUCUGAGAGGACGAUCAGCCACACUGGGACUGAGACACGGCCCAGACUCCUACGGGAGGCAGCAGUGGGGAAUUUUGGACAAUGGGGGAAACCCUGAUCCAGCAAUGCCGCGUGAGUGAAGAAGGCCUUCGGGUUGUAAAGCUCUUUUGUCAGGGAAGAAACACCGGCUCUAACACAGUCCGGGAAUGACGGUACC